CAUUAAGAAUUUCAAGACCACUGCUGUUGAAGACAUGGAUAAAAAUGCACCAACAAAUAUUCCUUCAGAUGGUUCACCACCACAUAACGAAGGUAUUAUUCCACACCUGCACAUAAAUAAGAGAAUUUGCAGCAGAUUUACAUGGUUGGUAUUUUAGCUUAUGUUGCUGAUUGAUUACUUCAGGUUGUGAUGCUACUAUGCAUGUUGAAUGCCAACUUAUGAUGAUUCUGAGUUGAUGAUCUUCUGCAGGGUCUCUAUUACCUUAUAUUGGUCAUGGUUGCCAAUGAUCAAAUGCAGGUUGAAUUUAAUGGUUAUAGUUGCAGCAUGCAGACGGUUUUACAUUGAUGUGGGGAACUUGGCCUUCGUUCUGCAACAGGGUAGUUUUGUGCAUCUAUUUGGUGAAUUGGCUUGGUCUCAUGGUCUGCUUCAUGGUGUAGCAUGGUCACACCUUAUGCUACCACU
rnacentral:lncRNA from 1 species